rnacentral:rRNA from 1 species
AGGACGAACGCUGGCGGCGUGCCUAAUACAUGCAAGUCGAACGGUCUUUUCUAUGGAAGCUUGCUUCCACUGAAAAGAUAGUGGCGAACGGGUGAGUAACACGUGGGUAACCCUGCCCACGAAGAGGGGGAUAACAUCCGGAAACGGGUGCUAAUACCGCAUAGUUUCUUGAUCGCAUGAUCGGGAAAGGAAAGACGGCCUUUGUGCUGUCGCUUAUGGAUGGACCCGCGGCGUAUUAGUUAGUUGGUGAGGUAACGGCUCACCAAGACGAUGAUACGUAGCCGACCUGAGAGGGUGAUCGGCCACAUUGGGACUGAGACACGGCCCAAACUCCUACGGGAGGCAGCAGUAGGGAAUCUUCCGCAAUGGACGAAAGUCUGACGGAGCAACGCCGCGUGAGUGAAGAAAGGUUUUCGGAUCGUAAAACUCUGUUGUCAGAGAAGAACAAGUUGGAGAGUAACUGCUCCAGCCUUGACGGUAUCUGACCAGAAAGCCACGGCUAACUACGUGCCAGCCGCCGC